UAGUCCACGCCGUAAACGAUGUCUACUCGGAGUUUGGUGUCUUGAACACUGGGCUCUCAAGCUAACGCAUUAAGUAGACCGCCUGGGGAGUACGGCCGCAAGGUUAAAACUCAAAUGAAUUGACGGGGGCCCGCACAAGCGGUGGAGCAUGUGGUUUAAUUCGAUGCAACGCGAAGAACCUUACCUACUCUUGACAUCCACAGAAUUCGGUAGAGAUACCUUAGUGCCUUCGGGAACUGUGAGACAGGUGCUGCACGGCUGUCGUCAGCUCGUGUUGUGAAAUGUUGGGUUAAGUCCCGCAACGAGCGCAACCCUUAUCCUUAUUUGCCAGCACUUCGGGUGGGAACUUUAGGGAGACUGCCGGUGAUAAACCGGAGGAAGGUGGGGACGACGUCAAGUCAUCAUGGCCCUUACGAGUAGGGCUACACACGUGCUACAAUGGCGUAUACAGAGGGUUGCGAAGCCGCGAGGUGGAGCUAAUCUCACAAAGUACGUCGUAGUCCGGAUCGGAGUCUGCAACUCG
rnacentral:rRNA from 1 species